rnacentral:misc_RNA from 1 species
UUUUUUCUGAUUCAACAUUUGAGGAAGCGCCAUUAUUCCCUACACCGCUCCCCUGUUCUUUUCCAUUAGGCUCAGGGGAUGCAGAUGAAGCAAAUCCAAAUCGUUGAAAGGGGGAGGAACUGAAGGCUGAAUGAUGAAACAAAGACAACUGGCUUGCAACAAACUGGAACAGGAUGAACAUCUAUGUGAUUUAAAAUUUUGCAUCACAAAAUUAACAAAAGAAGAUGAAAAAGGGGAAGCCAAAUGCAAAAUCGUGAAGCAGCAAUAAAAUGGCAACAUAUAUCAUUUUAGGUGGGGGAAAACAACAACUAUUUUAGGCAAAAAAAAAAGGGUCAGGAAUGCACAGACAUCAACAAAUUGGCCAAUAUCUUUCCGAAAUGCAGAUAGCGAGCAAAACCAUUAUUAUGACUUCAAAGAAAAAUUCAAUUUUGAUCCUGUCUAAACUUUCAUAAGAGACUCAUUUGUUUUAGUUUUGAAUCUUAAAUUGAAUCCUAUAAGGUGAACAAAGACCUAAAACCAUAUAACGCAUUACAAAAAAAACCACAGCCAAGUAGGCUCAAUUAUUGCAAAAUACAAAUAAGGCAUAACAUAUGCAUUUACCAUAUUGAAUAGUUUACUUGCUUACAAAUCCUUCUGCCAAAUAUCAUACCAAGACUCUUUAACUGUUAGUGACAUGUGUUAACCACGGGAACAAGAUAGAAUGCUAUGAUAACCAAGAUGAACUAGUCUCACAUUAGAUGUUUGAACUCAAAAGGGCGUUCGAACGCAACACAGUCCAACUAAACCAGUAUCACAAUAGACAAAUGAAAAGAUUAAAAUCUGAAAUGCUUAAGCAAAAAUUUGCCGAAAACCAAAAACCCACCUAAGGUCCCUAAUCAUUGUGAAAAAGGAAUUCAAUAAUUUUUUCCACUUCUUCAAAACCAUGUGCAAUUGGAAUGCCCUUUAGCAAAUCACUAAGAUGUGAGCAUUUUAAGCAAUAACAGCCAGAACCAACCUUGUAGAGACGAUUACAAAAAUCGUAUUGCAUAAAAACUGUUGAGAUUUGAGAGGCCGUAUCUAUAAUCACCAGAACACAACGAAACUUGAAAUCCCAAACAAUUGCUCAAUUAAAUCUCGACAAUUUCUAAAAUAAGCAAACAAAAAUCAACAACAAAAAUCCAUUUUUACUGGUACAGAGCUUCAUAAUUCCAAUAGGAACGCCUCCAUUGUAGUCAAAAAAACCAAAAAUCUUAAAACCUAUAAAACGCUUACUAGAAAUCAAACAUGAGACCAAUU